CUCAACCAAAAAAAAUUUAAAAAAGAAAGACAAUGAUAAACUAGUUGGGAAAAGAUCCCAGAUAUCCAAAUUAAGUUCAAAAUUCAGGCACAUAAUUUUCUAUUACCAUGGCCGAGCUAUCAUAUAAAACACAUAAUUUAGACAAUUCAAAGCCAGAUACCUUAGAAAUAAAAGUUUGCUUAUCCUUCAGUUUAUGAAGCAAAAAGCGGUAGCGCGAGGUCAAAGCAAAUGCAACAAUAGUAAUAACAGAUUUAGUAGAAUAAGGGUGGCAGAGUGAUGAGCUCAUAUUUGCUACCUCAAGAUCCUUAAAUGAAAACUAAUCAAUUGAAACCAAGCAAAACACAAUACGAGAUUAGAAUCCAAAAGACAACAAAAAUCUGGGAUGAGUGGGAAAAUGCCAAAAAGAAAAGGGAAGAAACUCAUGAAACCAAGUUCAAAUACAAACAGUAUUAUCACAAAAUUCAGAAACAGCUCGGCACAUGCACUAGAGAGCGCUAUAAAAAGAGAGACAUGAAGAUUGAACCCAGUAAAGGCAAA
rnacentral:misc_RNA from 1 species